GAGAACUUCUGGAUGGUGUUGGAUUCUGCUCUCAAACUCUUCUCUCUUGGGAGAAAAAGUGGAUUAUCUGAAGUAGGAUUGGAUCUUGAACAUAAGAGCCAGAUUGUGAACCAUGACCAGGACAGGACUGUCACUGACAAGAAAAGAAAGUGUCUACUUGAUUAUUAAGGAUUAGUGUUGUACUAUCAGUGGACCUGGACAUCUGUUGUGUCGCUUGGACGUUGCUUUUUUCAAUGUGAAUUUGCUGUGAUCACUUGUUCUUCUACUUAGUUAUUAGCCAUGGAGAUAAAUGUUUAUGGCAAAUUUUGUCGAGACUGUUUCCAUCUUAUGUUACAUAGAUUCUUUUUCAAAAAAAAAAAAAAAAAAGAAAAAGAAAAAAGACAAGUACUCAGUAGGAUAUCCUUGUGGCACAAACAUUUAUCAAGUUUUCAGCUACCAACUGCUCAGAAUUGAGCUACUGCAACUGGUGCUACGAAGACUUAAAAUGUCAUUCCUAAGAAAACGGGAUUUUCUGAUUUUCUAUAUAAGAACUUCUGAUGCUGCUGCUUGAAGACACUCAAAUAAAUCACCAGCUAUCAACAAUGGGCGUUGGCAUGGGAACAUGCCCCUGGCUGCUACCUGAAUGAGGACGCAGAGCCUCUGCAAACGGCACUGUCAAAGGAAUGACCCAGCAGGCUGCACAGUUUUACCUACAGCCGUAUCCAUGACAACAAAGUCCCAUGCCCACUACAUGGCUCUACUAUUGAAUAUUUGAUUGACAGAUGUCCAAAUGUCAACCACUCCCUCUCAGCAUGUCCGUUUAUUUGUGUGAGUCAGAGGUUAUUCCCAUUUCCUGUACUUCAAACUCUGUCUCAACUGGGGUCAAAGGUUAAAGGGACAGCACUGUGUUUCACGCCCCUCUCAUCCU
ensembl:lncRNA